rnacentral:rRNA from 1 species
UACGUAGGGGGCUAGCGUUGUCCGGAAUCAUUGGGCGUAAAGCGCGUGUAGGCGGUUCGGUAAGUCCGCUGUGAAAGCCCGGGGCUCAACCCCGGGAGGCGGGUGGAUACUGCUGAGCUCGAGUCCGGAAGAGGCGAGUGGAAUUCCUGGUGUAGCGGUGAAAUGCGCAGAUAUCAGGAGGAACACCAAUGGCGAAGGCAGCUCGCUGGGACGGUACUGACGCUGAGGAGCGAAAGCGUGGGGAGCGAACAGG